AACAGGAUUAGAUACCCUGGUAGUCCACGCCCUAAACGAUGUCAACUGGUUGUUGGGUCUUCACUGACUCAGUAACGAAGCUAACGCGUGAAGUUGACCGCCUGGGGAGUACGGCCGCAAGGUCGAAACUCAAAGGAAUUGACGGGGACCCGCACAAGCGGUGGAUGAUGUGGUUUAAUUCGAUGCAACGCGAAAAACCUUACCCACCUCUGACAUGUACGGAAUUUGCCAGAGAUGGCUUAGUGCUCGAAAGAGAACCGUAACACAGGUGCUGCAUGGCUGUCGUCAGCUCGUGUCGUGAGAUGUUGGGUUAAGUCCCGCAACGAGCGCAACCCUUGUCAUUAGUUGCUACAUUUAGUUGGGCACUCUAAUGAGACUGCCGGUGACAAGCCGGAGGAAGGUGGGGAUGACGUCAAGUCCUCAUGGCCCUUAUAGGUGGGGCUACACACGUCAUACAAUGGCUGGUACAAAGGGUUGCCAACCCGCGAGGGGGAGCUAAUCCCAUAAAGCCAGUCGUAGUCCGGAUCGCAGUCUGCAACUCGACUGCGUGAAGUCGGAAUCGCUAGUAAUCGUGGAUCAGAAUGUCACGGUGAAUACGUUCCCGGGUCUUGUACACACCGCCCGUCACACCAUGGGAGCGGGUUCUGCCAGAAGUAGUUAGCCUAACCGCAAGGAGGGCGAUUACCACGGCAGGGUUCGUGACUGGGGUGAAGUCGUAACAAGGUAACC
rnacentral:rRNA from 1 species